AAAUUAAAUCACAUUCCACAAGAAAAUUGUUUUUGUCCUGCUUAUUUCUCAAGAGAUAAGAUACCAAGACAGCCUGAUAAGGAACAAGAUAACGUCUUCCUAAAAUAAAGGGUAUUCUCAUCUCGAUGCUAGUGCGGAAUGAGCAGGCAAGGUGUUCCGAAGUGUUCUUAAGUGUUCCUAGGUGUUCCAGGGCGUUCCAAGGUUCUCCAGCUUGUCCAGACGGAAGAGGUCCACAUCCGGCUGACGGCGGGCGUGAGCGAGAGCGCGUGCGACCUGAAGAAGGCGUAUCCUGAAGGAGCGACUGAGGAUCUGCUGCAGGAGGAAGAGGAGGAUUCGAGCCAGUCGCAGGAAGGCGGGGCGAUCCGGGCUUCCAGACGCACGGAUUGGAAGGAUGAGCUCAGAGAUAUUCAGGCCGCCCGUGUUGAGCGCGAAGUAGCGAGGUUCCAGCGCACGAUCGACGAAACGCAGAGGCGCUGGGAGGAGAACUACGCCCGCGCCGCCCCUCGCUCCGCGCCCGCCACAGGGCAUUCCGACAGCUCGACGGAAGGGCUUC